rnacentral:rRNA from 1 species
CAGCCGCCGCGGGAAUACAGAGGGUGCAAGCGUUAAUCGGAAUUACUGGGCGUAAAGCGCGCGUAGGUGGUUUGUUAAGUUGGAUGUGAAAUCCCCGGGCUCAACCUGGGAACUGCAUUCAAAACUGACUGACUAGAGUAUGGUAGAGGGUGGUGGAAUUUCCUGUGUAGCGGUGAAAUGCGUAGAUAUAGGAAGGAACACCAGUGGCGAAGGCGACCACCUGGACUAAUACUGACACUGAGGUGCGAAAGCGUGGGGAGCAAACAGGAUUAGAUACCCCCGUAGUCCCUGUCUCUUAUAC